GUGCUCGCUUCAGCUGCACAUAUACUAAAAUUGGAAUGAUACGGAGAAGAUUAGCAUGGCUCCUGGGCAAGGAUGACACGCAAAUUCGUGACGCGUUCCAUAUUUUA
ensembl:snRNA U6 U6 spliceosomal RNA